UAAAAUAAUAAGAAACAUAAGCUUAACCUCA
rnacentral:piRNA from 1 species